GCUAAGCCCUGAACAUUGAUAGUUCCAUUAUACAACACUUUCCGCCAGAGAACUACAAGUGAAAAACUUGAAACUCAAAGGACUUGACGGUGUCCCAUAUCGACCUAGAGGAGCCUGUCCUAUAAUCGAUACCCCCCGUUCCACCCAACCUCAACUAGCAAAUUUCAGCCUAUAUACCGCCGUCGACAGCCUACCCUAUGAAGGUCUAAAAGUAGACACAAUAGCCUCCCCCGCUAACACGUCAGGUCAAGGUGUAGCAGAUGUUGAGGAAGAGAUUGGCUACAUUUUUUAAUAUAAUAAAUCACGAAAAGCAUUAUGAAACCAUGCAUGAAGGUGAAUUUAGUAGUAAAAUAGACUAGAGUGCCUAUUUAACAUCGCUCUGGGACGCGUACACACCGCCCGUCACCCUCCUCGACAACAAUACAACCACUUAAUAAACCAAAAAAGUUUACUAGAGGAGGC
rnacentral:rRNA from 1 species